CAAGAGAAUUCGGUGAUCUAAGAUCCCGAAACCUCCACCCUUUGUUUAAUUGACCGCCUUUCUUGUUGCCUCGGCGGGUUGUCUUGUUAACGCGAGCGCCCGCCGACAGGCACAUUUAAAACCUUGAUUGAACGUUAUAGUCAGAGCUUUAUUGCAAAAAACAAUAAAAUUA
rnacentral:misc_RNA from 1 species